rnacentral:rRNA from 1 species
GAAAUGUUGGGUUAAGUCCCGCAACGAGCGCAACCCUUAUCCUUUGUUGCCAGCGGUCCGGCCGGGAACUCAAAGGAGACUGCCAGUGAUAAACUGGAGGAAGGUGGGGAUGACGUCAAGUCAUCAUGGCCCUUACGGCCAGGGCUACACACGUGCUACAAUGGCAUAUACAAAGAGAAGCGACCUCGCGAGAGCAAGCGGACCUCAUAAAGUAUGUCGUAGUCCGGAUUGGAGUCUGCAACUCGACUCCAUGA